GCAUGCUUUUAAUUUUGCUCGCUGCUUUCAUAGCAGUUUUUGGAAUCAUCGGAGCAAAUGCCGCUCCUGAGGCCAGUCCACUUGCAAGUCCACUUGCUGACCCACUUGCUGACCCACUUGCUGAAGCCAAUCCAGAAGCAAUAAAUUGGAAGAAGAUGUUUGAGAAAGUAAAAGAAAUGUUGGGUUAACUUACUGGUAUUUCUCAAAAUAAAAAGGAAGAUGUUCUACAUGGAGUAUAAGAAUUAUACUGAUUCACGAUAAUAUAAAUUGCYAUGUCUAUUAAAUCAAAUGAAUUUUGGAAAAUUGUUAAUAUUCAAUAUUAUCUAUUUAACCAAAUGAACGAAUAAAAUUCUAUUGCAUAUCGUAA